UACGGAGGGAGCUAGCGUUGUUCGGAAUUACUGGGCGUAAAGCGCACGUAGGCGGCUUUGUAAGUUAGAGGUGAAAGCCCGGGGCUCAACCCCGGAAUUGCCUUUAAGACUGCAUCGCUUGAAUCCGGGAGAGGUGAGUGGAAUUCCCGGUGUAGCAGUGAAAUGCGUAGAGAUCGGGAGGAACAUCAGUGGCGAAGGCGGCCUUCUGGACCAGUACUGACGCUCAUGCACGAAAGCGUGGGGAGCAAACAGG
rnacentral:rRNA from 1 species